UCUCUCGUUACCUUUUCCUUUUUCGUUCUCUCCUUUCCUUUUCACUCUCACUAGGUUCUUUUCUCUUCUCCUUCCUCGUUCUCUCCUUUCCUUCUCACUCUCAUUGGGUUCUUUUAGUUCACGUUUGCUACCGUGCGAUCGGUUAGACCUGAAACCCUACCAUCUCCAGUAUACUAACUAGGGUUUCAUUUCACCUUCUCCGAACAAUCUCGCUCCCACAUACUCAACUGAAACCAAUUGCAUCACUCUACAAUUCAAAGAAGCCAAUUCCCUAGAAGAGGAUAUGAAACCGUGCUCGCGGACCAAGCCUCUUCUUUUGCCCUUUCUGAUGCUUCUCCACGACCACGCCGUCGUCGUUCUCUCUAAUGCUUCGAAAAGAAAAAACAACUUCCGCAAGCGCAAAGCCUCCAAUGACUGACUCGGUUAAUAGUGGAGUCAAAGACAACAUGAUGCUAAGCUUCUUUCUUGCAAAGACCUUGAAGUAUUUAUAUCUUUUCUUCUCACCUUCUUCAGUCAUCCCAUUAGAUGAAUGGGUAUUCAACACAGAAGCCCACCCUCUGAUGAUUAUGAUUAGAAAGGGGGACUUGAUAAGAAUUUAAAUGAGAAGCAAAAACCUUUUACUAGAAUAGGUGGCAAAAAAUAAGGUUUAUCAAGUUAGAUAUCCAUUCUUCUCUAAUUUAUUGGGUAUGUUACUUGUUAGCACACACUUGAAUCUAUUGUGUAUAAUUAGACUUCUUAGUUGUUAGUGGGUGGGCGUGUUUGAUGAGAUAUGGAUUACAAAUUGUUGCUAAACUAUGUUAUACUUUUGGAAUUUAAAACUGUUGUUGAAUGAAUGUUAAUGAAAGGUAUGAAUCUGAUUAUAAAGGUAUGUUUUACUCUGUUUAAACCCCUUAAUAUCAUAUCAUAUCAUAUAAUGAAUACUACACCAGUCCAAUUAUAUUAUUCAUGCAUACGUGUUAGUUAUCUGAAUUCUAGGAAGCAUUUUACUCACAUUGUGUAUAUAUAGAUUCCAUUUAUCUGUUUCCAUUCUCGUAGGAAAAACCCUCAACACAAGAGAACAAUGAGAUAUUGUCUUCUCGAUAUGGGAUUCAAUUUUGAGGAGGCUUGCACAGAUAUAGACAAAUAUGGUCCUAGAGUUGAGAUCGGUGAUCUGGCAGAUUUCAUCAAUGCUUCUCAGUUAGAAGAUGAAAUUGACUCGCUUCAAGAUCUGCCUAAAAACAAACAUGUUGCAUCUGUUGAUAUACAAAUAGAGUAUUUUUCUAUUUGAAGAUAUCAACAACAUCGUGACAAUCAAAUCAUUGAAGUUAGGAAAGAUUGGUAUUUACAUGUAAUUAGUACAUGCUUUUAGGUUAUGUUAUGGUGAUGUAUAUGCUUAUAGGUACAAAUAAGAUAUAUAUGUUAUGGUUGUAUGUACUGUCUUAUAAACAAAUGUCAUGUUAUGACAUGUAAUGGACG